UUUUUUUUUUUGUUUUGUUUUGUUUUUUAUACAGAGCUUCUUCUCUGCGUAGCCCUGGCUGUCCCGGAACUCCACCUGUAGACCAGGCUGGCCUGGAACUCUGCCUGCCUCUGUCUCCCAAGUGCUGGGAUUAAAGGUGUGCACCACCACUUCCCAACUACCCCCCACCACCAGGGUGUCAUGUAGGCUGGGCUGGCCUCAAAGCCAUUACGUAGCUGGGGCUAGCCUUGAAUUCUUGGUAUUACACAGAUGAACUACUUUGAGAGUUUUGAUCUUGCUUUGGUUUUUAAUUAGGAAAGACUGUGUCCAUUACCAUUUAUGGUAAUUGUGUCCAUUACCAUUUAUGGUAAUAAAGCACAAGAAAAUUUCUUUGAGGUAGUUUCUUUAGGGCUUAUUUUGAGGAGAUUGAUGAAAUCUUAAAAGAAGCAAAGCCAACUCAAAUGAUAGGGAGCAGGAGGAACUAUGGGGACAGUUCUGUUCUAUAAUGUAAGGGCACAUGGGAUUUUAGAUUAUGGAAAGGAAUCACACAUAUAUGUUAAUGGAUUAACUUAUAUCCACUGUUAACCAUUUGUUCUGAGUUAACACCCCUCUCUUAGGAUAUGUGCCCCUGGAGAAAUGCUGUUGAUGGUUAUAGGGAAAGAAAAACACCCUCUCUCCCUCAGAUCCAGUUUAUAGCAAUUGAAACUCUUGAUCCCAGCUGCUGGGACUGCUCUCAGGUAUUCAGGGCAUAAGGGUAGCCCCCAGCAUUUAGAGCAAGAAGCUUUUAAAGCAAAACUCAUCCUGGUAUCUUAUGUGGGGCAGCUGCAGCGGGGGAGGUCUGCACACAGGCAGUUCAACUGUAACUAAGAUAAGUUAGCCAGGACAUCCUCACCUUGGGUUCUUAGAAUAGAGUUGGGUAAGUUUCACAGGAUUCUCCAUCAAGGAGAGCAAAUUCUACUUAAACACGAAAUGGUUUCAGCAAGAAUACAAGAUGGAGGAAGCUCUGCAGUGUCAUCCCCUGUCAUAUGAUACCAGCAAAAACUAGGCUGAGUGUCCCUGUCCCUGAGCACAAGAAAUCCAAAGAAUGAACGAGAAGAUGCCUGCCGGGGAUGACGAGAAGACAAGCCCAGCCACCACAAGGCUCAGAAAUGUGGUUGGCCACCUGACCAGAGGCGCUCUGGAAUGACUAGCUCCUUUCUUCCCCUUUCCCCUACUCCUUUCUGUACAGUGUGCUCCGGUGAGAUGCGGAAGAGAGCAGGGCUCUUUUUGGUUUGAUUUUUUUGUUUCGUUUUGUUUCAUUUUUUGUUUUUAAGAUGUUCUACCUCCUCAAGACUGCCGGCUCUUUAAGUAAAGCACAUCUAAGAUUUAAUUCCUGUCUCUGUACAGUGGCCUCUGUGGUGACAGCUAGCAAAAACUCCAGGAUUCUGGUUACACAAGCAUGGGUGCUUAAGUUGGCCAUGAUACAAAUAAGCUAGGAGAUGUUAAGGGUGUUUGGUACCUGUCUGAACUGUCUGGUUGAAGGACAACAUGGAGAUUAUUUCUACCUCCGAUGGGUAAUCAUACACACACACACACACAAACACACACACACACACACACACAC
ensembl:lncRNA